rnacentral:rRNA from 1 species
UACGGAGGAUCCAAGCGUUAUCCGGAUUUAUUGGGUUUAAAGGGUGCGUAGGCGGCUUAUUAAGUCAGGGGUGAAAGACGGUGGCUCAACCAUCGCAGUGCCUUUGAUACUGAUGAGCUUGAAUACACUAGAGGUAGGCGGAAUGUGACAAGUAGCGGUGAAAUGCAUAGAUAUGUCACAGAACACCAAUUGCGAAGGCAGCUUACUAUGGUGUCAUUGACGCUGAGGCACGAAAGCGUGGGGAUCAAACAGG